rnacentral:misc_RNA from 1 species
AAGUCGUAACAAGGUUUCCGUAGGUGAACCUGCGGAAGGAUCAUUAAUGGAAUAAACCUGGUGGACUGUCGCUGGCUCUCUUGAGAGCAUGUGCACGUCUGUCAUCUUUAUCUUUCCACCUGUGCACCUUUUGUAGACCUGGAAUGCUUAAUAUAUCAAUCUGAGGUCAACUCAGGCGUGAGGACUGUCGGCGUCGCAAGAUAUCGGCUUUCCUUGUAGCAUUCCAGGGACUAUGUUUUUCAUACACACUUUAAAAAUCUAAUAGAAUGUCGUUUUAAAAAAGGUCUUUGUACCUAUAUAAAACAAAUAUACAACUUUCAGCAACGGAUCUCUUGGCUCUC